rnacentral:rRNA from 1 species
UACAGAGGUCCCGAGCGUUGUUCGGAUUCAUUGGGCGUAAAGGGUGCGUAGGCGGUUUUCUAAGUUUGAUGUGAAAUCCCGGGGCUUAACCCUGGAAUUGCAUUGAAUACUGGGAGACUAGAGUACUGGAGAGGAAACUGGAAUUUACGGUGUAGCAGUGAAAUGCGUAGAGAUCGUAAGGAAGACCAGUGGCGAAGGCGAGUUUCUGGACAGUUACUGGCGCUGAGGCACGAAGGCCAGGGGAGCAAACGGG